UGCCCCGUGGCUGAGUUGGUUACAGCGGUUGACUGUUAUUAAUUACGUAAUAAUAAUCAGACGGUCCAGAGUUCGAGUCUCUGCGGGGCAG